GGUUAACCCGCCGGCCUCUGGGCAGAGACUGUAAGUUGGGGUCGUGUUUGGGAGACUCGGGACCCUAUUUCCAAGGAGAACUGUGGGGGACAUGUUUAUGUUUGUUGUUUUCAAAAUCAAGCAAAGGAAACAACAGCCAAUUAAAAUGAAAUAUUUUUAUUCCCCUCGCACGUCGUCAGUGAUUUGCCCCCAGGGAUUCACAAUUUUCCCAAGCCUGUUAACGGGUGACAAUGAGUGAGUGCCUCCUGUAAUUUAAUUUUCCUGUCACACUAAAUAGAGCUACAUUGUAAACCUUAGAUCUACUCUUACUGAUAGGAUCGCCUUGUUUUGCCAUUUGCACCAUAAAGACCCCCAAAAGGGACACUGUAUUGUGACCUCUACUCUUGAAUUAUUCAAGAACUUAAUGACAUUUUCCAUUUUAAAAAGGGAACUAAUUGCCAUUGAUGCAAAGCAUGUGACCUUCUGCAGGUACCCAGUAUGAGAAUGUAACCAUCUGUAUGUGCAUAGAAGGCUGAAGAAAGCGGGUGCAAACAGGAAAAACACAUGCAAUCCUAACGAGCUCAAAAUGGACACUGGAAUCAAGCGUAGGGUUUAAUUUCACCCCAAACCGUGACACAUAGCUCCACAAAAUUCCCUUCACCAGACCUAAAGUCUGCAUAAAACCUCGCAUCAAUUCAGGCUCGUUUUGGGGGACAUGACAUGACUUUUUAGCUAGGACUGGAACAUUAAAAAUUUUGAAAGCCAGUAUGCCUUUAUAAAUGUAAAAUCACUUUGAUGUCAAGCAAAAUAUCUAAUAAUUUGCCUCCCUUCUUUUGUGGCUCUUUAAAAUUAUUUAUUUCCUCAAAAAGGAAAAGAAAACCCCAUAAAUUGGGAUGGAACCGCAUCUCAGUAUUUGCUGUUUGAAUCAGUCUUGAGUUUCUAGGAAAGCCGUUAUUGAAAUUCUUCACUAACUAGAAUUAUCUCGCUUCAAAUUACUUGGAAAUGGAUGCUUAUCUUUUUUUUUUUUUUCAAAGAAAAGACAAAACAAAAUAAAACAACAACAAAAAACUCCCAGUGUGUUUCCUACUCUUCUUUGUCUUGGAGGAAAGCAAAGGGAGAGAAAUGGACUUCACCAGUGGUCUUUGGCUUCAUCAAUUCACAGGUCAGUGUGCAGAGAUUCUGGGAUGCUGUUCCUGGUUUAUCUGAGUCAAUCCACAGCAGGUAUUAACCACUUUUAAGGUGCAAGUGGCAUCAGGAUGUUGGUAGCAAAACACUUUCUUGUGCUGGGCUGCAGAUGCUUCUUUUGAACUUUGAGUGAUGCUUGGGACAAGGAAUUGUCAUUUCUUCAGGGAACAGACAGCUCCUUUUAGAAGGAAGCUCUCAUAAACUACCCCCUCCCCCCGGCUUCAUUGAGAACUAAGUAUCCUUUCUGUGUUUGACUGUGAAUCCACAUCUCUGUCUUGUAGAAUUUCUGGAAAAGAAAAAUAAAGUACAUUUGAACAGCUAACUCGACUUUUAUAAACACCAUGUUAUAUCAACAUGUUUGACACAACUGGUGCUGAUGCAGCCGGAAGUUGUACAAAACAGAAUGCCUGACACUCCCUCUGUUGAAGUGUAUCAAAUGCUAUUUUAAAGGGAAUUGCCAUAAUACUGUUAUUACCCCAGUUAUGUAACAGAACAACUGUUUUCAUAUUUCUCUAAAACGAACCUGUUUCCCUCCCUGGUAUCAUGUGCUUUUUGAGUUCUGUGACAUGGUAGGAAAAACGCAGAAAAGAUACAUAGUUCUCAUUGUUAAAUAAUGAACACAUAUUUAAUAAAUAUACUUGAGACAUUUUCAAGUCAAGAAAAACAGGGAUAUGUAUGAGAGGAGUGGCCAGCCACCUUCUUGCAUGUCCCCUGUGAUAAAAGCAAUGCUUUAUGAGUCAAAUGAUAAUUUAGGUUUAGAGAUUUUUCACUUAGUUUUCUGCAUUUAAAACAUUUUAUAACAAUUUGAGAUAGACUGUAAGACAGAAUAAAUGAUAAACGUCUCUCAUAGCAUUCUGUAGUGUUAUAAUCCAGGAAUUUUUUCACAGUGACAGUAUACUUUCAAAAUGAAAUUUUAAUUCACUGUUCAAGUUGUCAUCAAGUCAUGUUUCUUUUCAUUUUAAAAAACAACUAUCUUGAUCAGGGAGCACUUGAAGGACACGUUAAGUACUGUGGAGAUCUCGGUGUCUUUAGGGUAGAGCAAAGUCCUCUUCUGGCCCCAUUCUGAGAUCUCAUCCUCUUCUGAAUGGAUAUCUGUGUUGGUAAUCUGGAACACCAUGGGGAGGGAUUUUAUUGUCACUGAGUUCCAGUGAAUGCUUCUAGAAGACUUGCAGGAGAUUCUGAUUGAGUACUAUGUUUCACCCAAUUCCUGUUCCCCCUCUUUACCUCCAAUAUAAAAACAACUUUGGAAAGCAUUCCCAUUUGGCCUUUGUAAAAGGGUAAAUGAAAUACCUAUCUCAUUUUAGUUCACCUGUAAAAUGGGUUUCUCAUUUCUCGAUCAAGCCUGGUGUGAAGGGACGCAUUGGACUUUAAGUUGUUUUAUACCCUUCAUCUAUUUUUUUUAAAGAUUUGAACUGUUGAUGUACAGUUUUUAAAAUGCUAGAGCUAGCAAAAGUUGACAACUUUCCAUCUGAUUGUAUUUAUUGAAACAUGUGCAUCUACAUAUAUUUACUGGACUUCUUACUGUACAUUUUUCUUCCUCUAGGAAAUGGCAUCAAGAUGGUUCAACUAAGACAUGAUCACUAAAAACAUUAUAAUAAUACCUUUUUGAAAAACUCAGUUUCUCCUGUUUACUAAAUAUUUAUUUCAUCAACAUGGGCUGCGUUCCACUGUGUCAGGAUUCUGCAUGUGGGUGGAGCACUGUUCCAGCCUGAGAAGAUGGUUCUGAGGCCACUUAGCAAGACAUUUUCCAGCAUGAGCAGGUUUCUCUGUGGAAAUAGUGACACCUGUUCUGGUGUGUUGUCUUUCCUCAGGGAACUUAAGGGGUACAAAGCUCCUGAAAAUGUUCUUUAUGCUGGUUGAAGCUCUUAUGUCGCUGUACUGAUUCCCUACGAUGCAGAUUUGAAUCACAGAGUAAUUAAAAUAUGGAUCAAAUAAGGCUGGGGCUCACCAAGGCUGAAAGCUGUAGCCAUUCAAGGCAUCAUUUCUGUCAUGAAAAUAUAGGACCUUUUCAAAACAUGCCUUCAGGAAGGUGUUCUCUUUUCAAACAAAAGUCUAAUGACUGCAUAACUCUUCUUGACCACAUCUUACACUUUCUCUAGACUUGCUUAUUUACAGCUACUGGAACAAAAAGAUGAAAUGAAUAAAGCACACUGAUUGUCC
rnacentral:lncRNA from 1 species